UAGGGAAUCUUCCGCAAUGGGCGAAAGCCUGACGGAGCAACGCCGCGUGAGUGAUGAAGGUCUUCGGAUCGUAAAACUCUGUUAUUAGGGAAGAACAAAUGUGUAAGUAACUAUGCACGUCUUGACGGUACCUAAUCAGAAAGCCACGGCUAACUACGUGCCAGCAGCCGCGGUAAUACGUAGGUGGCAAGCGUUAUCCGGAAUUAUUGGGCGUAAAGCGCGCGUAGGCGGUUUUUUAAGACUGAUGUGAAAGCCCACGGCUCAACCGUGGAAGGUCAUUGGAAACUGGCAAACUUGAGUGCAGAAGAGGAAAGUGGCAUUCCAUGUGUAGCGGUGAAAUGCGCAGAGAUAUGGAGGAACACCAGUGGCGAAGGCGACCUUCUUGUCUGUAACUGACGCUGAUGUGCGAAAGCGUGGGGAUCAAACAGG
rnacentral:rRNA from 1 species